rnacentral:rRNA from 1 species
UAGUUGUACGAGUUGAGACUCGUAGCAGAUAGCUCAGUAACACGUGGCCAAACUACCCUAUGGAUCCAGACAACCUCGGGAAACUGAGGCUAAUCUGGAAUAGGGCUCUCAUCCUGGAGUGGAGAGAGCCUGAAAUGCUCCGGCGCCAUAGGAUGUGGCUGCGGCCGAUUAGGUAGACGGUGGGGUAACGGCCCACCGUGCCAGUAAUCGGUACGGGUUGUGAGAGCAAGAGCCCGGAGACGGUAUCUGAGACAAGAUACCGGGCCCUACGGGGCGCAGCAGGCGCGAAACCUUUACACUGCACGCCAGUGCGAUAAGGGGACUCCAAGUGCGAGGGCAUAUAGUCCUCGCUUUUUGCGAC